rnacentral:rRNA from 1 species
GUAGGUGGCAAGCGUUGUCCGGAAUUAUUGGGCGUAAAGCGCGCGCAGGCGGUUCUUUAAGUCUGAUGUGGAAGCCCACGGCUCAACCGUGGAGGGUCAUUGGAAACUGGAGAACUUGAGUACAGAAGAGGAAAGCGGAAUUCCACGUGUAGCGGUGAAAUGCGUAGAGAUGUGGAGGAACGCCAGUGGCGAAGGCGGCUUUCUGGUCUGUAACUGACGCUGAGGCGCGAAAGCGUGGGGAGCAAACAGGAUUAGAUACCCUGGUAGUCCACGCCGUAAACGAUGAGUGCUAAGUGUUAGGGGGUUUCCGCCCCCCUUAGUGCUGCAGCUAACGCAUUAAGCACUCCGCCUGGGAGUACGGCCGCAAGGCUG